AUUGAACGCUAGCGGGAUGCUUUACACAUGCAAGUCGAACGGAGUGGCGGACGGGUGAGUAAUGUAUCGGAACGUGCCCAGUAGCGGGGGAUAACUACUCGAAAGAGUGGCUAAUACCGCAUACUAUUGGAUGGACCCAUAUCGGAUUAGCUAGUUGGUGGGGUAAAGGCUCACCAAGGCGACGAUCCGUAGCUGGUCUGAGAGGAUGACCAGCCACACUGGGACUGAGACACGGCCCAGACUCCUACGGGAGGCAGCAGUGGGGAAGUUUGGACAAUGGGCGAAACCCUGAUCCAGCCAUCCCGCGUGUAUGAAGAAGGCCUUCGGGUUGUAAAGUACUUUUGGCAGAGAAGCGGUAUCUGCAGAAUAAGCACCGGCUAACUCCGUGCCAGCAGCCGCGGUAAUAC
rnacentral:rRNA from 1 species